GCUUCUCCUUAGCUUCAUCCUCAAUUCUUC
rnacentral:sRNA from 1 species